AACGACCAUACCACGCUGAAUACACCGGUUCUCGUCCGAUCACCGAAGUUAAGCAACGUCGGGCCCGGUCAGUACUUAGAUGGGGGACCGCUUA
rnacentral:rRNA from 1 species